CAUUAGGGUGCAGAAAAUUGAAGCAUAAACGUCAAUAAAAAAAUAUAAUCAUAGCUUUUGUAUGAGACCAAAAUCUUAUAAAAGCUAUGAUUAUCUCACACUACGACCUCUUUGGUGCCAGUUUCUCGAACGGAAUAGUAGUGCGCGCGUGGAUAACUACAAUAGUUUGAGGUUAGAAAACCUCAUUUUCUUGGUGUAAAAUUUAAUAACUUUAGUGGUUUAUUUUCUUUUAAAUCUAGAAUUAGAAUGGCCAAGAGACAGGUGCAAUCAAAUAAAGCAUCAAUGUAAAUAUCUAAAAGGAAAAAAGUACAAAAAUAUGUAAACAAUAACUGGCCUAGAAAACGAAACAAUUAUCAGUGAAACAAACAGAAAAACAUAGAAAAAGGUCCACACAAAGGGCCUUUUUCUUUCCGUCCUUUUUCCUAGGGCCCGGUGAAUUCCGUAAGGCCAGAAGUACAACGAGUCCGCCCGAGAAGAUCCGAGGCCAAGCCAACCACAAUCCCCAUCUGGUUCGUCCGGCGUGUGGAAAUAUGCGUGCGUCGCUCCUCGUGGCGUGAAUCUUCGGUAAACCAACCCAAGUUAACCAACAGCGGCCAGGGAGCCAAUCAUACCGGCAAUCGUCGGCAAUUUUGCCGAAUCACUCGGUCAGCGGGAUGCUGGCAACUGAUCCGCAUCAACACCUUCCGACACCGACCUUCCGACAACCGCAAGAUGCCGCAUCGAAUCGGCAAUUAAACACUCGUUGGAGACUGCCAACUCGACUCAA